ensembl:lncRNA novel transcript
GAGGGGUCACGUGGGGCGCGCGGGGGACGGACCGGGGCGCGCGCGGUCCGGGGGGACGCUGGAGGGAGGGCGCGGGAUGGAGGGAUCGCGGGGGUCCCAGGACGGAGAGGUCGCGCCGGGCGCGCUCGGAACACGCAGGAAAUUCUCCCCGAGGCGUGGGCUCCGCGGGGCUUCCCCGCCGGUUCGCUGAGUCCCAGCUCCGCUCGGCCGGGACCUCCGUGGCAGGCUCGGGGAGCCCGCGGGGGGCAGAGGCGCCGACCUCCGCCUGGGACCGAGAGGAACCCGCGCCCUGCCCUGCCCCGCCCGGCGCGCGUGGGCCUGAGUCAGGCGCCUCAGCACGGGGACCCCCGGGCCGGCCUUCACGCCGCAGAGCCGCUGCAGGUGAGACUGUGGCCCACAGACACUGCUUGCAGCAGGCAGAGGAUGUGGGAGCCUCGUGGGAACCCCCCCGACUUGUCCACUGAAGUAACAGCAGCAAUGACCUUCCCUCGGGAAUUCCACCUCUGCGUUUUUCCCUCCAGGUAUCUUUUUGAGCACCUUCUACAAGGACCAUCCAGCACAUCCAUAGGAAUGUUCCAGAAAUCCACGGCCGUGCUCAGCCCUGAUUCCUCACUCCACCUCAUCCUCAGUCAGGCUCUGGGGCCCUCUGAGUGGUGCCACUCCAAGAGUGAAACCAGAUAGGCAGUCCAUGCUUUGGAUGGCAGUGAGACCCAGACGCAGUUCCAGCGCUGGCCUCUGAGCGGCAGUACAGCCCCAUGGACCACCAGAGCCCCUGAAGCCCAGCUCUGGUUGGAGGUGAUGCCACUCUGCACCUCCCUGGCUGCUGUUUGUAUUAGUCAUCUAUGCUGCAUAACAAAUACCCCACAACUUCAUGAUGUAAGCAGCACACGUUCAUUAUCUUCCAGAUUCUGUGGACAGGAGGCUGGGUGGGGCUUAGCAGGGAGCCUCUGAGUCAGAGGCUCUCACAGGCUGUGGUCAAGGUGUCAGCCACGCUGAGGUUACCCCAAGGCUUGACUAAGGGGGGAUGUACUUGUUUUUUUUUCCAGACCGGGUCUCGCCCUGUUGCCCAGCCUGGAGUGCAGUUGAACAGUCUCAGCUCACUGUUCCCUCUGCUUCCCAAGUUCAAGCGAUUCUAGUGCCUCAGCCUCCCGAGUAGCUGGGACUACAGGCGUGUCACAUCCCACCAGGCUAAUUUUUGUAUUUUUGGUAGAGACGGGGUUUCAUCAUGUUGGCUGGGCUGGUCUCAAACUCCUGACCUCAAGUGAUCUGCCCACCUUGGCCUAGCUAGGUGCUGGGAUUACAGGUGUGAGCCACUGCACCACGCCCACUUUUUUUUUUUUUUUUUAAGAGAUGGGAUCUCGCUCUGUUGUCCAGCCUGGAGUGCAGUGGCACAAUCACUGCUCACUGCAGCAUCAACCUCCUGGGCUCCAGCAAUCCUCCUGCCUCAGCCUCCUGCAGAUUCACUUCUAAGCCCACCUAUGUUGCUUUUGGCCAGAAACAUCAGUUCCUUGUCAUGGGGGCCUCCGCACAGGGCUGCUCACAACAGGGGAGCUGCUUCUCCCAGGAGGUGGCGGAGCAGCAGCAGCUGCAGUCUUUGGUGACCAGAUUGUGAAAGUGACACUCCGUCUCUUUUGCUGUGUCAGAAGUCAGUCACCAGGCAUGGUCCACACUCAAGGGGUAGGCAUUACACAAGGAAAUGAACUGGGUUUUGCUUU